GAUGAACGCUGGCGGCGUGCCUAAUACAUGCAAGUCGAGCGAACAGACGAGGAGCUUGCUCCUCUGACGUUAGCGGCGGACGGGUGAGUAACACGUGGAUAACCUACCUAUAAGACUGGGAUAACUUCGGGAAACCGGAGCUAAUACCGGAUAAUAUAUUGAACCGCAUGGUUCAAUAGUGAAAGACGGUUUUGCUGUCACUUAUAGAUGGAUCCGCGCCGCAUUAGCUAGUUGGUAAGGUAACGGCUUACCAAGGCGACGAUGCGUAGCCGACCUGAGAGGGGGACGCCCCCCCCUGAACCUGAGCCCCCGCCCGGCCCCCCACGGGGGGCCGAGGUAGGGAUUCUUCCGCAAUGGGCGAAACCCUGCCGGACCAACGCCGGGUGAGUGAAGAAGGUCUUCGGUUCGUAAAACUCUUUUUUUGGGGAAGAACAAAUGUGUAAGUAACUAUGCCCGUUUUGCCGGUACCUAAUCAAAAAGCCCCGGCUAACUCCGU
rnacentral:rRNA from 1 species